CUCAAAGUUGUGUUACCACAUUUACAUAACGAGUUACAGAAUCUCUGUGAGUUCCAAUCUGACGAUGAAUAUUGUGACGUUAUCUAGCCUAUAAAUAACCCCGAGCAAUCAAUGCUAGUUUAAAUCGACUUGUUUCUGGAGACGACUACUUGGAUCACUCUCUGAAAACAUUAAGGUCUGUUGUUCCGAAUGUUGGAGACCUUACCGGAAAUUGUACCGGAGAUGUUGGAUGGUGCAGUGCGUCUGUGUUGAAGAUUGACUAAACAUGGAUCCAGCAACUAUGGAUCCAUAUAAUGCUGAUGUGGACGGGUUUUACAAGGGCGAUGAUUAUGGAUAUUUCCACUGGAAUGAAAAACAUGGCCAAUGGGAGAGGUGGACCCUAAACAACAACGAGUACAAGUAUGAGUAUGCGUACAAGUAUGAGAACGGGAAGGACUAUUACAACCACCAGCAUCAACCUGGUCAAGGGGCCAACUGGGAAAUGGAGGCUGGUUCUUCUCAGAUUGUCGAUGCUCCUGCCCAUCUCCCCCUCCCUACAUCCUCUGAUCUCCCUCAGCAGAGCCCACAGGAGCAGCCUGGAGUCCGCACAGCAUCCCCUGGGCUUCUUGCAAAUGUUGGGACUCUUAAGGAGAUGAUUGAGAUUGCAUGGCAGAAAUGUCAGGAGUACCAAUCUAAGUUCGUCAUGUGGUAUUGUGUUACCCUGUUGUGCACACAGAGUAGGGCACAGCCCAUCGUUCCUUCUGUGAAGCCCAUCGUGGUCGAGCGUCCCAUCUCUCCACCAGUGAAACCCAUCAUGGUUGAGCUGCCAAUCUCUCCACCAGUGAAGCCCAUUGUGGUUGAGCUGCCCAUCUCUCCACCAAUGAAGCCCAUCGUGGUUGAGCUUUGCCCAUCUCUCACCAAAUG
rnacentral:lncRNA from 1 species